rnacentral:rRNA from 1 species
ACGGGAGGCAGCAGUGGGGAAUAUUGCACAAUGGGGGAAACCCUGAUGCAGCGACGCCGCGUGAGUGAAGAAGUAUUUCGGUAUGUAAAGCUCUAUCAGCAGGGAAGAAAAUGACGGUACCUGACUAAGAAGCACCGGCUAAAUACGUGCCAGCAGCCGCGGUAAUACGUAUGGUGCAAGCGUUAUCCGGAUUUACUGGGUGUAAAGGGAGCGUAGACGGCGAGGCAAGUCUGAAGUGAAAUGCGGGGGCCCAACCCCUGAACUGCUUUGGAAACUGUUUUGCUAGAGUGCAGGAGAGGUAAGUGGAAUUCCUAGUGUAGCGGUGAAAUGCGUAGAUAUUAGGAGGAACACCGGCGGCGAAGGCGGCUUACUGGACUGUAACUGACGUUGAGGCUCGAAAGCGUGGGGAGCAAACAGGAUUAGAUACCCUGGUA